UCACAGAUCCUCGGGCGGGGUUUUCCCUGAAGACGACUUGCCAGCCAGACCUCUCUCCACCCCCUGCACUCUGGUUCCUGCUGUCAGUGAUUCCCAUACUUCACCGAUUUUGUCGGGUGUCACCUGCUAUACUGGUGGCUCUGCUUAUAUAGUCAAGGUAUUCCUAUGGAAUUGUUCAUGAUUGCGGCCAAUAUGGAAGUCAGGUCAGCUGUUAAAAAGGUAAAGGCACAUCCCUGAGACAAUACUAUGGAGACCUGAAUACUCUCCUUACUGAUUAGUGACGUCUCAACGCUUUUUUCAUCCGGCUCCGAUCCUAACGCUGCAAGUAUGGAGGAUUUGCGCUUAAGACCCUCAGUCACGGGUGUGCUCCCUUUAUGUGUUUCUCCAUCUUUGAUAUAAGUGGCUUCCUCAGAAGGCUAAGAUGUUUGGCAAUGUCACUGUCAAGUACUGGAUGUACUGUAAACAAUUUUAGUGACCCUAUAGCAGCACAUUUACAAAAAGUAUAUGAACUGAACUGAAGAAUCAGUUUAGAAAAGAACAUAAUGAAUCUGAAGGGGACCUAUCUGGAUGGGAUUUAACCUGGCUCAACCCUGCAAACUGGUAUAAGGUGAUAGGUGAAUGGUCGUCGGAUAUACUACACAUGGUAAUCUAAGGCUUUGCGCUUGUUUUGAUUGUACAGUAUAUGCAGUUGAUAAGCUAGGAAUAUGGCUUAAGAAGUUGCUAACAAUUAAAUG